UACGUAGGGUGCAAGCGUUGUCCGGAAUUAUUGGGCGUAAAGAGCUCGUAGGCGGUUUGUCGCGUCUGCUGUGAAAACCUCAGGCUCAACCUGGGGCUUGCAGUGGGUACGGGCAGACUAGAGUGCGGUAGGGGUGACUGGAAUUCCUGGUGUAGCGGUGGAAUGCGCAGAUAUCAGGAGGAACACCGAUGGCGAAGGCAGGUCACUGGGCCGCAACUGACGCUGAGGAGCGAAAGCAUGGGGAGCGAACAGG
rnacentral:rRNA from 1 species